GCUACGGGAGGCAGCAGUGAGGAAUAUUGGUCAAUGGACGAGAGUCUGAACCAGCCAAGUAGCGUGAAGGAUGACUGCCCUAUGGGUUGUAAACUUCUUGUAUAAAGGAAUAAAACGAGGCACGUGUGCCUUUUUGCAUGUACUUUAUGAAUAAGGAUCGGCUAACUCCGUGCCAGCAGCCGCGGUAAUACGGAGGAUCCGAGCGUUAUCCGGAUUUAGUGGGUUUAAAGGGAGCGUAGAGGGGUUGUUAAGUAAGGUGUGACAGGUUGCGGCUCAACCGUAAAAUUGCAAUUGAUACUGGCAGUCUUGAGUACAGUUGAGGUAGGCGGAAUUCGUGGUGUAGCGGUGAAAUGCUUAGAUAUCACGAAGAACCCCGAUUGCGAAGGCAGCUUACUAAACUGUGACUGACAUUGAUGCUCGAAAGUGUGUGUAUCAAACAGGAUUAGAUACCCGUGUAGUC
rnacentral:rRNA from 1 species